rnacentral:tRNA from 1 species
CCCUGGUUAGCUCAGUUGGUGGAGCCCUCCACCACUAAUGGAGAGGUCCCGGGUUCGAUACCCGGACCAGGCG